rnacentral:lncRNA from 1 species
AGAGAAACCAAACUUCUCCGCCCAUAAUAAUGUUCACCUAAAAUACAAUGCUUUAUCUUCAAAAAUAAAUACCCAUAACUCAAAACAAUUUCGUUUGUCCACACUCCACACACAAACAAACAUUUCGAAGCAGUCCAUUUUCUUUUUCAUUUUUCACACACACUUUUCGUACAUAUAGCUAAAAUAAACAUCUUACAUAUACCAUAACUCAUAAUUCAUCCUUAAAUCACAAGUUUUCAUUUCAUCAAACAAUUUUCAGCAGCUUUUCUCAUGGAGAUUUUCUGGUUUUUCAAAAUUUUCUUGACUUUCACCUUCUUUUUCUUGAUGGGAGAUCCAUUUUUCUCUCAUUCAUCUUCUUUGCCCGAGGGAAUCGCGAAGUCUGCAGCUGUACACCGCAAUUACACCGCCAUAUCAGAGUUUCGAGUACUCAACAGAAAACCUUUGAAGGAUUGCCCCGACCUGAACCCGUAUUUGCAAAUAAACACAAGCUCCAUUGCCAAGCUUUCUGAUGAUGGAUAUAUAACAGUAAAUGUUACAGGAGUUUUACUUCCUUCGGCUACUGAUUGGGUCGCAAUGAUUUCCCCAUCUCAUGCCGUGUAAGAUGAUUAUUUUCGUAUCUAAAUAAUCUGAUUCUACGCUUGAAAAAACGGUAAAUUUAAUCUGAUCUUGCAGUGUAACAGCCUGUUUAGAAAACUCAAUUCUUUAUAAGGAGACAGGAGAUUUUAGUAGUCUUCCUCUUCUCUGCCAUUAUCCUGUUAAGGUAAGUGCAUUCUACUUUUGCAAAACGUUUGAAGGAUUAUAAUAAUCACAGUUUAAUUAGCCUUGAGAUUAUUUUAUAUUUUACUGCGCGCAGCCAUUCUUUUAAUUUAUUUCUUGACAUGCCUGGUUCAUAAUGAUCAGAAAUCUGUUUAAGUAUCAAAUAAUUCAGAAACUGAGAGUUUCUUGAAAAAUUUGUCCUUGAUCCGAUAUUUACUCGACAUAGUAACAACAACAAUAACAAACUAAUGUCGAUCGACUUGGGUUAUUGCUAAAAUUUGCAGGCUCAAUAUUUAAGAAGUGAUCCAGAUUACUUAAGUUGCAAGAAGAAGGAAUGCAAGAAAAAAGUGAAUGGAAAAUGCGUGUUGAGAACAUGUAGUGCGUCUUUGUCAUUUCAUGUCAUUAAUAUUCGAACUGAUAUCGAAUUUGUGCUGUUUGCUGGUGGAUUUGUUGCGCCUUGCAUUUUGAGAAGAUCACAGCCACUCAGAUUUGCCAAUCCAAACAAGCCUUUAUAUGGACAUAUAUCGAGUACCGAUUCAACAGCAAAAUCGGUAUGGAAUGCCAUCUCUGAUCUCCAAUAUCCAUGCAUGUGGUUGAGAAUUAAUUAUUUUAUUUUUAUUUACAACAUUUUAGAGGAAAUAGUUCGACGAUUUUUUAUUUAUUUAUUUUUGAUAAUAUGUUAUUAAAAAGCGGAAGUUAUGAAUUUCAUAAAAUGUGUGUGACUGAAAAUUAUUUGAACGAAAAAAGUUUAAGAAAAAGUUGUAUCAAACAUGCCUUUAUUUAACCCCUAUUUGGUAUAGCUAAAAAUUAAUUUUUUGUAAAUUUUAAUAAAAGUUGAUGAAAUGUAUUGAAAAGUUUGAAUCCCUUAAAUUAUUUAAUUAAAAUAAAAUUUUAAUUUUCACCAUAAUUUUUCAAUUCCUUACUCCUGUAAGAAAUGGCACAAGGCUUUGUUGACUUUGCUAUCAUUAAUUGCCUUGUCCGCCCGGCAAGAUUAUCGUUCACAAGCAUCUGCAAUUUCCUCUUUUUAAUAAAUUAAACAGCUGUGAUGGGAUGGCAACAUAUUUACCUUCUUUAUGGGAUUAAAAUCAAAAUUUAUUGAUAAAAAUUAAUAAAAUGUAUGAUUGAAAAGUUGUGAAUCCUAUAAAAUAUAUUAUUAAAUCUAAUUAUUAAUUAUAAUUAUAAUUAUAAUUUUAAAUCCUAAUGAAUGGGGACUUAAAGAUCUACCACCAACUUAACUGAGCAAUUACUGUUGUGCAGAACAAAUAUUGAAUAUUCUCACCUUUUACUGAAUUAAGUAAUUAAUUCAGUGUACUCGUGGGAUUAAAAAGUCAGCAGCAGUUGACUGCAAAAUUUUGAGGUGUGAAAGAAGAAAAAACGUAGCAGUGCUUUCAAACGUAGGGCCACAUAAUAUUAGUGCAUGGGAAGUGAUAAAUAAUUAUAUAUUUAAUUAGGUAUAUUUUUUAUGCUGAUGAGAUUAGACAUUAUAAAGAAUAGAUUUUGUAAUGUUUUUUCCCAAAGUUUGAUGCAUUAUAAUUUUGACGUGUCAAAAUUUUAGUGAGACGCAUUUUUGCCUUUAAAAAAAACAACGAAAGAGACAACAAGAUAGAGCAACAAAUGUAGACUCGUCGUGAACGCAUUAACACCUGUAUUUGAUAUGAAUAUAUUUGGUAAGAUUUGAUAUGAAUAUAUGGAGAAUAUAAUGGAUUUUUCAAAAUUGUGAUAAUUGCAGAUGAGAGUAACAUGGGUGAGUGGAAACCAACAGCCUCAACAUGUUCAAUUUGGAAAUGGGAAAUCAGUUACCUCACUUGUUUCUACUUUUUCACAAAGUGAUAUGUGCAACAGUAAGUUUCUUAUUCUCCUCGUGCUUUUGCUUAAAGUAGCUUAAAACCGUAUAUCUUUGAGACUUUUAUAAACAACCAAAUGACUUGAUUGAACAUCGUUUUGUCUACCCAUUUGAGAAGACUAAUGUUAUUCGGCACAACUAAUGUUAUAGUUUUUUCCAUGAAUUCUCGAAGGGAUUGGCAUCUUCAAUCUAGAUUAAUGUUUUAUUCUAAAAUAUUGUUUCCUUUUUAUCGAAAAUAAGCUUCCUACUUACAAAGUCCUGCCAAGGAUUUUGGGUGGCAUGACCCUGGCUACAUUCAUUCAGCUGUAAUGACAGGACUCAACCCUUCAACCAAGUACCUCUACAGAUAUGGAAGGUAAAUUUUUGUUUCCAAGUGAAAAAUAAGAAGAGGGAAAAAGAAAGCCGAAAACAUUCUGCAGUAGGAAAAUAUUUUUAAUUUCGACUGGUAAAAAAUCGAAAAACUUAUUGCAUAUACUCAGACUUACAUGUAUUAUACAUAAUUUGAACAUAUAAUACAGUGAUUCAAGUGGAUGGAGUAAUUGGACAACAUUCAAAACACCGCCUGCUGGUGGAUCAGAUGAGCUUAAAUUUCUUGCAUUUGGUGACAUGGGCAAGGCUUCUCGUGAUGCUUCUACUGAACACUAUAUACAGGUAAUAUAUAAGUGUGGAUAUGUCUGUUACAGAAAAUAUGAAUACAAUGCAAUUAUGGCUAAAAAGGGCCUUAUUUUUGGGGAUAAAUAUAGCCAGGAUCACUAUCAGUCAUCGAAGCUAUGGCCGACGAACUAUCCUCCAGUGGAGUCGACGCAAUAUAUCAUAUUGGAGACAUAAGCUAUGCCACAGGUUUUCUAGUAGAAUGGGACUUUUUCCUUCACCAAAUUAAUCCAGUGGCCUCUAAAGUUUCUUACAUGACUGCAAUUGGGAAUCAUGAGAGGUAUGCUGUUCGGUUCAAAAUUGUGUAACUGUCACAUAUUUAAUGAGAAAAUGGUUCGACGCUGUUUAAGCUUUUAGACAAACUGAUAAAAAUUCGAGGUAUUAUCUUUCAGGGAUUUUGGAGACUCCGGAUCGGUUUAUUUUACUCCGGACUCUGGUGGUGAGUGUGGGGUACCUUAUGAGACAUAUUUUCCAAUGCCAGCAGUUGCAAAGGAUAAGCCAUGGUAUUCUAUAGAACAAGGGAGUGUUCACUUUACAGUAAUUUCAACAGAGCAUAAUUGGACACAAAACUCAGAACAGGUACAUAAAUAACCUUCUUUUACACUGUUUUGUGCCUCGUUUAGCAUAGUAGGUAAUGUAAUACUAGAAAGUAGAGUAAUGUCUAAUAAGUUUAUGUUGUCUAAUACCAGGUGUAUGUUUGAUAUUGAUUUUUCUCCUCAAAACAUUCAUUUUUUGACCAUUAUUUCACUAUUUCAGCCGUCAUUUUUGACUUCUUCUCUCACAAAUUAGACACAUUUUUCUCUCUAACAGUCAAAAAAUCAAUUUUCAAAAUCACUAUCGAACAAGCCCCAGCAACAAAACUUAGCCUUACAUCUUUUCCGUCUCAUGGAACAAAAUAAUAAUUGUUGCACUUAACUUCAUUGUGUCCUUGCACAGUAUGAAUGGAUGAAGAAGGACAUGGCUUCAGUUGAUCGAUCAAGAACUCCAUGGUUAAUAUUCACGGGGUAAUUUUAUAUUUUCAAGGCCACGGCCAAUAUCUUUUUAUUGCAUUUCGAUUAGCCAACUUUUAACUAAAACUCUGCUUGUCUUCUUUCAUGAGUAGGCUAGAUGUUUAAUCAACAAUAAACUAAAUGUUUUGCGUUUUUCCUAAACAAAUUUGGAUCAGUAACAAAUUAUCAUGAAUGAAAAUUCUUGUCAGUGACCACCGACAGUAGGUCGAUAUGUGAUUUAGAUGGAAUUAUCGACAAUGAUGUUGUUGGUGAUUGUUAAUAUAUUGUCAUUAGUGAUUGUCAAUGGACCGCUUAAUUCUUGAGUCGACUCUGAUUUAAAAGAUGCACGAAUAUGUUUUUUUUACUGCUCCGUUCAUUUCAUUGCCACAUUACUUAAAUCCAAUGCCAGUAACAGAAACAUGUACAAAUAAUCAAUUCAUUAAUUUUACAUGUCAAUAAAAUUAAUGAAUAUUGCGAAUUGACUACAGGCACAGGCCCAUGUAUUCCUCCAACGACGGAAACAUUAUUUUGCCAAGCGUCGACGACAAAUUCGUCCAAGCCGUGGAGCCAUUGCUACUAGCCAAUAAGGUAAAAGUUUCCAUCGAGAACACAAAUUUUAGUAAGUACUGGCUUCGUGAUUAAUUGUACUCACUAACAUAUAAAUGGAUCUACAGGUUGAUCUUGUUCUAUUUGGACACGUUCACAACUACGAAAGAACAUGUGCCGUUUAUAAGCAACAAUGCAAGGCAAUGCCAAAGAAAGAAAGAAAUGGAAUUGAUACAUAUGAUAAUACAAAGUAUAGUGCACCAGUUCAUGCUGUUAUUGGAAUGGCUGGCUUUAGCUUGGAUAAGUUCUCCAACAAGGUAAGUAGUUACAACCUCAAGCCCUCAUAGAGACUCGUCCCCCCACUCUCAUCGUCGUCUCAAGUAUCAAACUUGGAUCCCCUGUCAAUUUUUCUUGACCUUUGGGUUUCAAAUUCAAUUUUGUAGCUUGAGAUUUCUCUAUACGAUUUAUUAAAGAUGAUCUUAAAAGAAAUCCAUGUCUUGGGACACAAAUUCUACCGGACGUUAACUCAAAAAGAAAAAAAUGUCAAGAAAGAUAUACAAAUACUCGAGCCUACAAUGAGAAUCACAGUUGCAAUUUUUCAUGGAAAAUAGUAACACAUACUAGAAUCAUGGGGACGUUUUUUUGUUCGUGAUGGACAGGGGAAGCCAUGGAGUUUGGUUAGGAUUUCCGAGUUUGGAUACACAAGAGUGCAUGCAACAAAGAAAGAGCUAAAAGUUGAGGUCAGUUCAUGAAUCUUUAUCUGCUUUAAUUUUAAAAUUGGGUGAUGCAAUAAGAACAUCAAAUUGAGUUAAUUUCUUGACAUGUUUAUAUCAUUUUGCAGUAUGUAAAUUCAAAUACAAGAAACGUUGAAGAUAGCUUCCGAAUCAUCAAAAGUUGAAAAAUGAAAAAUAUAUAGGCAGGGAGAUUUGCUUUAUAAAUAUAUUGUAAUGAAAGAACAUUGGAAAUCUUUUAAGAGCACUUGUAUUUUCUAAAUAGCUUCUCUGAUUUUUAUUUUUGAAUCUAAACUGUCUUGGUCAGUUGAUUUCAUCCCAGUUUUUGAAGAACUGUUUUUAGACUAUGACCAAAC